GUGCUUCGCAUUUCGACACAGAGCACAUCGAAAACAUUUUUCGAAAACAGAUUUACCAACAAAAUUGAUCAAAUUUAACAAAAUUGUAGACAAAAUGACUACGUGUUUGUUAUGGCCGCAUAAAUGCUGGGCUUCUUCUUAAUCUCUCCGCCGUAGCUUGGAUAGGUCUAGGCUAGGUUAGGUCGCUUGAUAGGGGUCAACCAUGAGGCAAAAGUCACAUUAUGGAGAUAUGUGACAAAGGGAAUGAAGCCCAUUCAAAAAUUAAGAGAGAAUUGAGAACAUCCGCGUACCAGAUCUUACUUGGCUUGGGCUCUGCAUUUAUCAUCAAUCCUGACCAAGCACUCAAUCAAUCCAUUCUAACAUAUGUCCAAGCAAACUGUAACCCAACUCAGUAGCCCGAGCCUGUCAUCCGGCUCCACAUGGGAAAUCUACAAAGAGCAAGUUUUCAGUGUGUUUCACAUUUUCGUACAGAACACAACGAAAAAAUGUUUGGAAAAGUGUAAAAAAUAAACAAAUGUAAUAAACUUUUAGAAUUUUGAUACAAAAGGACUUAGCAACAGUUGUUAUGGUUGCAUACAAAUUAUAUUUUUUCUUAAUCUCUCCGCCGUGGCUAGGAUAGGUCUGGGCUAGGUUAGGUCGCUUGAUAAGGGUCAGUCAUGAGGUAAAAGUCACAUUAUGGAGAGUGAAUACCAUGUAAUACAUAUGUCCACACUGUUAAAGAUUGGGUUUCAAUUAAGUGUAUCAAAAUUUAAUGUAUCGUUAUAUAUUUAAUAAAAUUAAUGUCAAU